rnacentral:rRNA from 1 species
CCUACGGGUGGCAGCAGUGAGGAAUAUUGGUCAAUGGACGAGAGUCUGAACCAGCCAAGUCGCGUGAAGGAUGACUGCCCUAUGGGUUGUAAACUUCUUUUAUAUGGGAAUAAAAUGUUCCACGUGUGGGAUUUUGUAUGUACCAUAUGAAUAAUGAUCGGCUAACUCCGUGCCAGCAGCCGCGGUACUACGGAGGAUCCGAGCGUUAUCCGGAUUUAUUGGGUUUAAAGGGAGCGUAGGUGGAUUGUUAAGUCAGUUGUGAAAGUUUGGUGCUCAACCGUAAAAUUGAAGUGGCAACUGGCAUUCUUGAGUAUAGGAGAGGUGGGCGGAAUUCGUGGUGUAGCGGUGAAAUGCUUAGAUAUCACGAAGAACUCCGAUUGCGAAGGCAGCUAACUGGACUGCAACUGACACUGAGGCUCGAAAGUGUGGGUAUCAAACAGGAUUAGAUACCCCGGUAGUC